GAGCUUGUGAAGGUCAUAUCUUAAUGACGAAAGGGGACUGAUGGAUGUUUAAUAGCUGCAGGUGAGCUUCAGCAUAAUGACAGCACCUUUUUCAAAACUACAAGUUCACUGGAUUAUUUCCUCAGUCUUUCUUCUUGCCACUCUUGAUGCCCACAUGAGAAGAACUAAGGAUGACUGUCAUCAAUCGGGGGAUUUCAUAAUUAGGUAAAAAUCAAUGGAGAGACUGCCCUAUAUCAAGAAAAAUUCAAGAGGUAAAACAAAUUGUGUGUUGUGUUGUCCUAAGUUUAGUUUGAACAAAUUGAGGAAACUAAAUUAUUAAGAUAAUUGGGUGAAUAUGAUUAUGGGCUUGGAAUUAGAUGAUACUAAGAAAUUAUUUUUAGGGUUUUAAAAACUUCCAUUUUAAGUUCGGGGUACAAAUCCAGGUUUCUUACCUAGGUAAACUUGUGUCAUUAGGGUUUGUUGUACAGAUUGUUUUGUCACUCAGGUACCAAUUAGUUAUUUUUCCUGAUCAUCUCUCUCCUCCUACCCUAAACCCUCUGAAAGGCUCUGGUGUGUGUUUUUCCCCUCUGUAUCCAUGUGUUCCCAUCAGUAAGCUCCCACUUAUAAGUGAGAAUAUGCAGUAUUUGGUUUUCUGUUUCUGUGUUAGUUUACUAGUAUGUUAAUAGCACAUGAUUGUGUAAGAAAAUGUCUACAUUUUUAGAGAUGCAUAGUG